GGAAGGGGGUUGGUGUAGUAUGUGCACCUACUACAGUCAUAGAGUGCAUAUUUAGUCCGUUAGAGGUCCAUAUUAAGUUGGGUUUUCCCAUUGGGGGUUGAUGUGUUCAAAUUUUUGCAGAACAGGUAUAGGUUUCUUGAUGUCCGAUGUUGUGCCGUCGUGAUCUUUCAGAUCUCAGGUAAAGAUUUAACUCAGGCAUGUAUUUUAAUGAAAUUUCAUUUAUUUUUUACUAUUUAGCUCAAGAUUGGUAUAGUAGACAGAGGGAGUAGCUUUUUAGGUUUUGUUUCCAUAUAUAUAAUUCCUGCCAUUUUCUAUGGGUGUACUGAUGCUUAGGACAGGUAUCUGUGGAUACAAGUAAUUAGAAUUGGCAGCGCAAGAAGAAUGCAGAGGUAGUUGAAUAUCAUAUGCUUGAGGAUCUCCAAACACAUUUGAUAUUUUCAGGUUAGCUACUUUGUUUAAAAACACAUCAAAUGGUGCCGUGUAUUGCCAAGGAUCAUAGCAAGGGCUUUUUACAGUUCUAUGAAUACCAGGUCUUGUGAAUAUUUUGGAGUUGCUGACCUGAACAGCCUGUAUGAUUAAUGUAAGCAUGUUCUUUCGUUCAAAAAGAACUACAAUAAACAGUAUUGCGCAGCGUCCGAACAUAAACAGUAUCUGCUUGGGUCUAGCACAACAAAUUAACCGGACAAGCCCUAAGUUAUCCUAAUAAAAUGUC
rnacentral:lncRNA from 1 species